GCACACACAAAAAACUAGGGUUUCUCAUCUCUCGUUUGAUUUUGUCCGCCGCUCAUCUUCUCAUCCUCUCUCUCUCUAUGGCGAUUCCUGGCGAUUCAUCAGGCCUCUCUCUCGGAUCUCGCCAGAUCUCUCACCAGAUCUAUGAGGAUUUCACCAGAUCGAUGAAGUUUUUUCAGGUUUCAAUAGAUAGGGUUUUGAUCGAUUGGUAGAUCCUUUGUAAUAAUCUAUUUACCAAGCCCAAUAUUGGUCCGCAAAUUAAUGCAUCAACAGUUGGGAAAGCUCUGGUUGUGGAUAUCUGUUGGAGCACUCCUUGGGUUUUUGAUUAUCUUCAACAUAUUCUUUAUCGUAGCACUAACUUCCCUGAAUCCCCCGGUGUGAUGCUAAACCUGUGAUCAGAGAGGAAAAUGAUAUAAAGAAUUCAAAAAAUAACAGCUUACAGUAGGCUCAGCUGGGAUGGUCAAUCACAUGAGCUUUGGUGGACUUCCCGUGAAAACUGAGACAGCUGAAGAAGCUGAUGAACUUAUGAGAGUAGAUGAAAAGGCAUCUGAAGUUGAGGUAGAAGUUCUUUCAGCCCCUCCAAAGUUAGUUUACUGUAAAUUAAUCUUGCGCUUCACUAGAAAGCUAUUGGUGGCUGUAGCAGACAAGUGGGAUAGUCAUGUUCUGGUCAUGGACAAAGUUGCUCCACAAAACUGGAAGGUUUAAACAACAUGCUUGGUUAUUAUGUUAUCUUUAUAGCAAACUCAGUUUUUAGCAAAAUCAGUUGAUCUGUUGUAAAGUGGUUUAAUCAAAUAGAAGAAACAAGUGACAUAGUUGGUUUUGAGAAAGACCAGUUAAUCUGUCUUUUAACUAUUAUAUUUAUCAGUUUUUUCAUGUGGUUUUUUGUUAUUUCAAUCUAAUUUAGAAGUUAUUGAUAUACACAAGGUUUAAAAAAACGGAAACGAGUUUCGAGGCGUUUUCCCUUCGCCUCACGAGGCGUAAGCCUCGAGGCGAACCGAGGCGUAAGCCCGAGGCGGAAUUAAAAAAAUAAAUAUAAAAUUGUAUAUCUUAUAAAAUAAUAAUACUAACUAAAUUCAUCAUCAAAAUCAUCAAAAACAAACAUAAAAAAGACAUAAAUUGCUUGAAAUUGACAUAAAAAGUCAAAAACAAAUAUCAGAAACCCCUGAGGCGCAGCUUUUUUAGCGCCUCAGCCUCUUUGAGGCGCAUGUACACUAGAAACCCCCUGAGGCGUGCCUCAGAGUCGUUUUUUGGGCGUUUCGCCUUGAGGCGCGCCUCGAGGCGCACGCCUCAGCCGUUUUUUAAAACCAUGGAUAUACAGAAUGGAGUCAGCUUACAGGACAUGGGUCAGACAGAAGAAAGAAGGGGUUAAAUCAGUUGAUUUGGAUGAUCUUUGUAGGGAGCUUCAAACUGCUUUAGGCACAACAAAGUGGCAGAGACAAGAAAAAGUGUGUUUGUGAGAGAGAGAGAGAGAGCGACGGGAAGGAGAGUCCUUGGAGAAGGUAGAGGUGGCAAAGGGAACUAGGGUUCUAGCGACGAAUGUCUAUCUAGGUACUCAUUGAGAGUUUGAGACCUCGAAUCCAUCUAUUGCUUAACGAAUCAGGGAUAAUCUUGACAGGUUAUAAAGCUGGAGCCUCAUAUACGGAUGAAUGGGUCAAACGGUUCAAACUGUUGACCCACCCAUAACUUCAAUGUUCGUUCUUAACAACGAAGAGAUCACCUGCAGGCUACAUACGCAAGUUUUGAGGGGACGGGAUGACGGUGGUCAGGCAUCACUCUGGAGCAUAUUUCCAAAAGCAGUUGUCUAUUGUCAUGUUAAAGAGGCCAAGCAAAAUGUAUCAAGUUAAUUUGGCACACAAAGCGGAAGGAGGGAGCCUAAUGACUUCAAGAACUCCAACACAAACCAUGCUGAAUAUCGAAAUGAAGAGGCCAGUCCUGAUUCGUUGAAGCUGGGUCAACCCAUUUUAUUGACCUGUGAGUCUCCUGGCCACGCGAACUAUAACACGGUCGUAUACAGGGACCCAGAAUACUACGCUUAUAGUGUCGAAAAUCCCGAGUGAAGCUGGUGGAAUCUCGAAUAGGUUACUCAUUUGUGAGUAAACUGUGGCGAACAUGAUACCCGUGGCCCAAUAUUGGAAGCAACCGUAACACUGCUUUCAGUUCCUCAACCUGACUCACUGAGCAAAGCCUCCAUGGGUCUAUCGACCCGUUUGUAUGAUCCGUGGGUGCAACCACAGCUGCCUUAUCCAAAAAACUGAAGUGAGCUUUUGGCUAUUCCAGGGGUGAUUAGUUUUAUGCAUCAUAUCCUACAAGGGAGUGAGUUUUUGACUGAUACCUUAAGGCGAGAUUUUGCAUAACGAGGGUUUCUUAUUUCUGUAGCCACUGGUGUUUCUAAGACUACACAAGGGUAAGGAAUGGUAACUCACACAAACAUGGAAGCUUGUGGAUGAAUAUUCUGAUGAUGUAGUCCUUGCCUCCUUGGCUUGGCUCUAAACCCAUCAAGAAUGCGACACCAUUCAAGGGAGGUAGAUUGCACACAAAUGGAAGAGUGAAAAUCGGUCACAACUCAACAUCUUGUAAUGAUGGCCAAAGGACAAUCGGCAUCAUAGACUGGAUGAGAUUUUUUUCUUUCUAUUUUUACUUUAAUUUGGUCCGUCUUUGGGUUUUUAACAACUAAACUUGGACUGUCUUUUGGUUUGUUUAACUUUCUAUUUAAGUUUGAUAUUAUGUGGUAUUUCGACUUUUGAGCGGAGAAAGAAAUAGUUGUUUGGUUUACAUACGAACUGAUUCAGAAAUGGUUGCUUUAUUUUAGUUUA